ensembl:lincRNA
CUGGUGGCAGCUGGCCCGCGGGGUGUUAAAAAUAGCCAGGUCAAGUGCCCUGGUUACACGGGCCAAUUUAGUUACAGUUGACACUCAUAAGAGCUGCUUCUGGUGCCAGACGCAUAAUUGACAGAGAACAGUCAGACGGGUAAGCAAGCAUUUAGUUUUCAUUUCGUUAUUGCAGCCAUUUUUUGUUAUGCUGUUGGAUGCGGAGCUCUUUUGAAAUCGCAAUUAACACUGCUGGCAUUUAACACAAUUUCAUUGCUUUUAAAUAUAGCAUGAAAGCACAGCGUUCUAGAAUUAAUCACGGAAGCAAUUUCACGAGGUGUUGCUUUUGCCAGAUAAGUGAUGGUUCCCUGUAUUAUAUAACAUGAAAAUCUUCCUAAUAGUAUUAUCCUUCAUUUUCUACCAUGUUUAUAUGUAAUCGACUGUCCUGGUUAAAGAGAAUGCACGCUAUUAGAUGGAGCUAUUGUAAACAAAUGCACAUUUUACGGUUAGUUUAUGCCGGAGAACGUUCGAUAUUAAAUCUUCCUCCUUCCCUGACAGCUUCAUCUUUGCUCACGUUAGAAGUCUCUGUAAUAAUGGACAAGAACGCAGAGGUGUUAGCGUGUGGCGCUUCAAUUAUGAAGGAUGUCUGGGAAAUCCGACUGAGGGAGUAUCGACAGAAGCGGCAGAUGGAAGAGGAGAGGAUACGGAGGAGUGCUUUGGAAAGAAUCAAUCAAGAUUGGCAUGCGCGCAUGACCUCCAAGAUAAAAACCCUGAAGAGACUGGAGAGGAAAGCAAAGCUUCCUGAAGAACCAACCCUUGAUGCACAGAAGGCCAAAAAUACACAUUUGGGAAGACCUCAAGGUUUCCAGAGCAGUCGGAUUCAGAAGCAGGCGGACACGGCAAAGACCACAAAAGCCAGUAAACUGGCCCUGUUACGCCACCUCAACGAAAGCUGCCCGGGGUUGAUGGUUUGGGCAAAGUCCUGGAAGUUCUCUCAACCAUUGCCGAAACCUGAAGAAAAUCCUUGUGUGGUCAACUGGGGACAGUCAUGGAAGUUUCUCAAUCUUCAACCAAACACGGAGAACAAACCCUGGUGUGAUCUUGGUUUUGAUGCCAACAAUAAUAUAAGCACCAAUGAUGUGCUUCUAUGGGAGAAGCUCAGCAAAUCCUUAAACUCUGAGUGGAUUCAGCCAGAUCUGGUCACUGCAGAAUUGGAAAAGUCGUGGAAAUUCACUCAGAAAGCAAGAGAGCCUAAUGAAGGCACAAGUAAUUGUGCAAAUAAAAUCCAAGAGAAAUGUUAUGAGCUGUGGGGGGAAAGUGCACCAGAAUGGCAGGAGUCAUGGAAGUCAACGAAGCAUGUUAAAGAAGCAGAAAUCAGGAUGGACAUUCAGCCAUCAGCUAAUGAGGAAAAGCAAUCUGAAUGUCCCUGGGAUAACUCCUGGAUGUACUUUAAGAAGCAGCUCCAUACAAGUGAUAAUUCAGCUUGGAAAGAAUCUUGGAGGGUUGCAAAUACCACAUCAAGACCAGAGUCGAAAUCAGUGCAGUUUCAAGCAGCGGUGCCUGAGGAGAUGCAUCACGACAUCUACAACAUGAUAAUGAACAUGUCUAGAGAGAUGACGCACGCAAUUCUGUUCGGUGAGAGGGAUCCGCAGCCAUCUGAGUGGGAAAAAUCUUGGAAGACCAUUAAAAAUCAGUCAGAGUAUAAAGAAGAGAUAAAUAAAGCUGAGGUGGAAGUGAAGGUUGAGACACAGAAACCAGACAAUUCCAAACAACAAGCUGAGCGUGUGAAAUUCGACAUACUUGCUUUGCCAAAAAUCCAGAAGAAGCAAGAGAUGCUUCAUUCCCCAAAGGAAAUAGAUUGGAAUGAUUCCUGGAAAAUGUUAAAACGCCACUGUGGAGAGGAACGAGGAUUUAGGAGCCCAAGAGGUCCACUUCAACAAUUACCAACACAAACUCUCAACGAAUGGACUGAUUCUUGGAGAUUCACAAACUUAACUCUCAACCAAGAUGCUGGUUUAUGGGAGCAGGGAUGGUCCACCAAUACUCAGCCUCGGCCUAUUAGAAGAGUGCAAGAAAAUGAGGAUUUCCCACAUAAUGGACCGGCAGGGGUUCGCGUCUGGUCUGAAACCUGGAGGUCCACGAGACGUCAGCAUCUUGCGGAAAGACAAGGAGCAAGCGCAUCAACUCAACCAAUAUGUCGACAUGCAUACGCAAGAUCUGUCGCCGACUGGGAUCAAUCAUGGAAAUCAUCAACUCAUAAGCAUCAUGAUAGACCCUCCAUGACAGAUUGGGCAGAUUCUUGGAGGUUCUCCAACUCUGAAGAUCUCCAACCAGAGUAUUCGUGGUUUGAGAAGUCAAUGGAAAUUAAAGGGAGAAUCUGCAGAGCAUCUAAUGCAUUUCACAGACAUAUGGAUUCCCAAGACUGGAAUGACUCUUGGAGGGUGAAGAAGACGGUUGAUGGACUUGCGCAUCUUAUGAAGAAUGAAGUGCUGGAUUGGGAUAAUUCUUGGAUGUUUUCCAGCACAGGGUUUUAUCAAAGACAAGGUGAAGUUUACUCGAAUUUCCAGACUGAUGUCAGAAGCAAUGCAAUGUUAAAAUCAGUCCAGAUGGAGUGCAGUUCAGAUUGGGUUCGGUCAUGGAAGAUGUCGAACCCACAACCCCCAAAGAACAUCACCUCAUGGGUUGAUGCAAAGUCAUUCAAUGCACAGAACAAUGCAUUGAUGCUAUGGUCGAAACACAAACACAUCAAUUAUUUACCUUCUGCUUUGGUCAAUGACCUGCAGCUGAAUAUCUGGAGCAAGUCUUGGAGGUUCGUGAAGAUGGAUGUUGACUCAAACCUGCGAGGUGAAUCUGUCAAAACGACAAAGAGUCCAGCGGUCAUGUGUUUGAACAUAGAUCAGCAGAAACCGCAGGAGAAGAGAUGGAGCGAUGCAUGUAAAAUAGCCAAGAUGCAAACGAAGCGAUCUAAAUCAAGCCACAAUGAAGACAAACAUGAACAUGAGAUGUUCGCAGAAUGGACUGAAUCUUGGAAAUUCUCAAAUAAUCUAAAAAGCCAUGACCCUGCAAUGGUUUCUGUUUCACUGGGAAAUUGGAGAAACUCCUGGAAGUUUCUCCUUGAGUCGUAUGCGCCAGUGAACGGCCAGUGAGUCGGUAAAGAUUAAAGACUUUGCAGGUUUCAAGAGUGCAGCUCUUCAGAAAUCAUUUAAAAUACAUGACGGAUGAUGUUUUAAAAACUUCUACACAUUCGACCCCAAAUAAAGUUGUUCAUGCAAUUGCGCUUGGUCUUAUCUAUUGUGUCGAAGCACAACAAACCAUAACAAAUCAUUAUUUUUGCAGCAGUCAUGCUGGCAGCUGUGAACCGCAGCUCUGGUUUAACAGAGCACAUCAUUUAUUCUUUUUCAAGUCGUUGCACAUAGAGACCAUGUGGACCAGCACGAAUGCAGUUGUUUAACUCAAAUACAAGUGUAGUAAAUUGGACGCCGUUCAACAGAAAGCUAGAGCUUCUCUGAACACAAACCUCAGUAGUACGACAUGCAAACAUACAGUUGAAGUCAGUAUUAUUAGCCCCCCUGUAUAUUUUGUUCCCCAAUUUCUGUUUAACUGAGAGAUUUUCUCAACACAUUUUCUAAACGUAACUCAUUUCUAAUACCUGAUUUAUUUUAUCUUUGCCAUGAUGACAGCACAUAAUAUUUGACUAGAUAUUCUUUAAGAUAGUAGUAUUCAGCUUAAAGUGACAUUUAAAGGCUUAACUAGGGUAAUUAGGCAAGUCAUUGUAUAACAGUGGUUUGUUCUGGAGACAAUAAAAAAAAGCUAAUAAUAUUGACUCUAAAACGGCUUAAUUUUUUUUUUAAAAACUGCUUUUAUUCUAGCCGAAAUAAAACAAAUAAGAUUAUUACAGGUAAUAUUAUAUAAAGGUAAUAUUAUGUAAAUAUAUAAAUAUUAAAUAAUUUAAAAAUAUAAAUUUAUAUUAAAAAUAUUAUAAAAUUUAUAUAAAUAUUAUAUAAAAACAUUACAGCACAUACUAUGAAAAUUAUUCAUUAUUUGGGAAAUAUUUGAAAAAGAAUCAAAUAAUCAAAGAAUCAAAUAUCAAAUACUUUGAAUUCAAAGGAGGGUGAAUAAUUAUGACUUUUACUGUAUACACUGCAAAAAUGUACUGCUUAAUCAGAGGAAAAGCGUACUUAGCAGAUAAAAGCAACAGAAAC